AUGAACGCUAGCGGCAGGCCUAAUACAUGCAAGUCGAACGGGCGGUAGCAAUACCGCUAGUGGCGCACGGGUGCGUAACGCGUAACCAACCUGCCCAGAUCUGGGGGAUAGCCCGCCGAAAGGCGGAUUAAUACCGCAUAAACCCGCAGUGUGGCAUCACAUAAUGGGUAAAGAUUUAUCGGAUCUGGAUGGGGUUGCGUAGCAUUAGCUAGUUGGCGGGGUAAUGGCCCACCAAGGCGACGAUGCUUAGGGGACCUGAGAGGGUGAUCCCCCACACUGGCACUGAGAUACGGGCCAGACUCCUACGGGAGGCAGCAGUAGGGAAUAUUGGGCAAUGGGCGAGAGCCUGACCCAGCCAUGCCGCGUGCCGGAUGAAGGCCUUCUGGGUUGUAAACGGCUUUUCUCAGGGAAGAAAACGGGGAUGCGUCCUCAACUGACGGUACCUGAGGAAUAAGCACCGGCUAACUCCGUG
rnacentral:rRNA from 1 species